AGUGAACGCUGGCGGUAGGCCUAACACAUGCAAGUCGAACGGCAGCACAGUAAGAGCUUGCUCUUACGGGUGGCGAGUGGCGGACGGGUGAGGAAUACAUCGGAAUCUACUUUUUCGUGGGGGAUAACGUAGGGAAACUUACGCUAAUAUCGCAUACGACCUACGGGUGAAAGCAGGGGAUCUUCGGACCUUGCGCGAUUGAAUGAGCCGAUGUCGGAUUAGCUAGUUGGCGGGGUAAAGGCCCACCAAGGCGACGAUCCGUAGCUGGUCUGAGAGGAUGAUCAGCCACACUGGAACUGAGACACGGUCCAGACUCCUACGGGAGGCAGCAGUGGGGAAUAUUGGACAAUGGGCGCAAGCCUGAUCCAGCCAUACCGCGUGGGUGAAGAAGGCCUUCGGGUUGUAAAGCCCUUUUGUUGGGAAAGAAAAGCAGCAGGUUAAUACCCCGCUGUUCUGACGGUACCCAAAGAAUAAGCACAGGCUAACUUCGUG
rnacentral:rRNA from 1 species